GCCCGGUUAGCUCAAUCGGUAGAGCGUGUGGCUUUUAUGAAGCACACCUCAAGGUUGCGAGUUCGAGCCUCGCAUCGGGCG